AGAGAGAAGAAUUAAAAAAAAGUUAAAUGUAUAAUAUGAACAAAAACAAAUCUAAAAAAAAUAUUACGUAGUUAAACAAAAAAAAAUUGAACAAAUUAUAGUUACAAAAAUGAAACAAAGAAUAUAUUAAUAUUAUUUAAAUUAAAAUUGAAAGAAAUAAAUUUUAUUAUACAAAGAAAAAAAAGAAUUUUAAAUAAAAAGUUAUAAUAUGAACAAAGUAAAUUUAAAAAAGAAAAAGAAAAAAUACGCUUCGAAGAGAUUGUCCUUCCUUUUAAAAGGAGAGUUCUUUCCUUUUGAAGUCAAAGGAGAGAGGAGAAACUCUCCUUUUAAUAGAUGAAAUUUUAUUUUUCUUAUUUAAAUUUUAAAUUUUUUUGUUUAUAUUAUAGAUAACAAAUUUAUUUAAUUCUUUCCUCGUUGAACUUAAUUUUUUUAAUUAUUGUUUUUCUCCCCUUAAUAGGACAAAUUUUCUCUACUUAAAAUUUUUUCAAUAUAAAUUUAUUCGAUUUAAAAUUAGUUAAAUUUUUUCUACUCGUGAAAAUUACUGCUUUUCUCUCCACAAAGCUAAAUUAUUCAUUUUUGUCAUUACUAUUGAAUCAUUCCAUUUCAAAAUUAAUCACAAAUAAUUUAUCUCAAAUGAUUAUUUUUAUAACUAAUUGAUUCACUUCUUCUUUAAACACUAAAACCUUUAAUAUCACGUUCAAAAUAAUCCUACCUACUAGUUUCCCGAAAAAUAAAAUCCUUUAACCCUUAAAAAAUAUUUUUCUUGAUUUUAAGAAAAAUAUCAUUGAAAAAAUAUUUUUGAUAAAAAAAAAAUCAACGAUAAAGGUAAAAAUCCAGAUAAACACUUUGAUAUUAGUCCCCGUUUGGCCCUCAUUUUCUAAAAAUAAAAAUGAACGGAAUAAUAUUUUUUUGAAAAAUAAAUAAUUAAAAAAAAAUUUAAUAUACUUAAAAAAUAAAAAAAAAGAAUAAAAUAUAUAGUUAAAAAUUAAAAAAAAUAAAUAAAAUAAACAGAGACUUAAAUUAAGAAAUGGGAUCUAAAAUGCGUACCUUUCCGAAUUAAUUCAUAACAUUUCCAAAUUUACUAAAGCUUGGACUCAUUCUCUAUGAGUAGCAAUCUCGUUAACAUCUGCAACUUUUAAAGAACGCAGGAGCCACAGUUCAUUCGAAACUCAUAAACUUCUCUUGCACAAAAUUUCAACUUGAUUUGGGCACGGGCCGCGCGAACGCAGGCCCCCUCUACCACAAAUUAUGACAUAGGCUCAACCACUUGGGCCGACCUUAGACGGACACCCCUCCUAAGUGCAAUGGAGGUCGCCAAUCUAGGCCAUGGGCCUUAUUGAUCGCCCAUUGACC
rnacentral:lncRNA from 1 species